GGAUGUUAGGGCAAUCCGGCUGUGAUAUCUGUCACCCCAUUGAUCACCAGAGUUAAUUAUGAUGAUCCGGAUGGCUAGGUGGAUGUCCCUUUCCUCCCUCAUUCUUCCGUGUGUAUCCCUCCUGAAGCUGCAGACUCAAUGGAAGAGGAUGACCUUCCCCAAUAGAGGAAGACUUUCCUUAGGUAAAGGUUAUACCAGUAGCUGCUCUCCCCUCCUAGAACCUCCAAACAAGCUCCCAAGGUCCAUUUAUAGGAGAAUGUAGGAUAGUCAAGCUUCUGAGACUCCAGACACAUCCAAAUGAGGUGUUGAAUGUGGCCUUUCUAA
ensembl:misc_RNA 7SK 7SK RNA